GUGGGCAUGGUGGGGAUGGGUUGGGGUUGGACUUGAUGAUCUCAGCGGUCUCUUUCAACCUUAAUGAUUCUAU
rnacentral:miRNA from 7 species